GGAUCGGGUAGGCUGCGUGUGGGCUCUGGGAGACUGAGAAGGACCCCAGUGUCUGGGGUACUUCACUGUGCUGGGUGGCUGAGGAGCAAUGAAAUCAAGCGGCCAGGGCCCAAGGAGAGGGUAGCUCCAGGGGCUGCUGAGGGGAUCGGGAGGAAGGGCUGAGAGACGGGGUCAGAGCAGAUGGUCACCAGGCCGCACGGAGCCCUGGCGGAGACCCUCUGCCGCUGCCUGGCAGCACAUUCAGGCUCAGAGCCCAAGUGGAAGAAGGAAUGUGGGUGCACUCAGCACAGGCGCAUCGAUUUGGGGGUGGUUGGGGUGCCUCUAAUUCUCUGUCCCAAAUGGCCUCACCUCAGGGAGGGGUCAUGGCUGUGCCUUCAGCAUCUGAUGGGCGUUUCCAGCCUGCCUGGGUGGCCCAGGGGCCAGAGAGUUUGACAGGUUCUCUGGGGAUGGAUUGCUUUUGGUUUCUCAGAGGCAGGACUCUGGUCGGAAUCUUGGCCUCACAACUGCCAAGCCCCGCCCCCCACCCAGGUCACUGUCCUGCGGCAAAGGGGCUGAUGGUCAGGAAUGGAGCGCCUAACAGUGGUGCUGGCUCCUCUGGGCGACUGUGCAAAUCGCCAGGCUUUGUGCUUCAAGACCCUCCCCCAAAUUCCCUCUCUCUUUCCUUUGGGGCCUCGUUUUCCUGUCCCCAAGCCCUGUUUCAGGGAGCAGACUUAAAGGUGGUUCUCGGGAAUUAAAGUAGGGUAAUCGAUUGAAAGGAUGCUCUCAUGGCACAUGUGGGUGGAGAAAACAGAGGGUUGAAGGCAUUACGUUGUGGUGGGGGGUGCGUGCUGGGAGUCUUUGAGAGAAUUCACCCCUCUCUCUGGGCACUUCACUUGGCUUAGAAGGUGAGGAGGAAUUCUAUCAAGCUGGCAGCUGCCCAAGGCCAGGAGAGCCCUGGGGGGCUGCUGAGGGAAACCGGAGGAAAGGCUGAGAGUCAGUGUUAGAGGAGACGGCCUCCGGAAGGGGCCAGAGCACAGACAAAGCCCAUCUGAAGCCCCCUGGCUGCACCUCUAGGCUACGAGGUGGUGCCAAGAGGGGUUAGUGGGAGCCCCAGGAUGUGUUAAGAUGGCUCACAGGGCACCACUGACUCUCUGGCACCAAUCGACUGACCUCAGGGAGCAGAAAGACAUUGCUUUCUGCAUCUGAUGGGUAGUUCCAUCCGGCUCUGGCUGCCCAGGGGCCAGAGAGGUGGACAUGUUCUCUGGGGUUGGUUUGCUCUUAGUUUCUCAGGGGGCAGGGACACUGGACCCACAAUAUCUGCUUGAAUCUUGGCCUCGCAAUUACCAAUCCUGCAGCUUCUGUAAAGUCAUCACAUGUCCAACGGGGCUGGUGGUCAUGAAUGGAGCUUGUGAAAGUGGUGCUAUUUUGAGGGGGCAGACAGGAACCCCUGUGCUUUAUCUUUCAGGAGUUCUCCCCGGAUUCUUUCUUCCCCUUCCAUCUGAACCUCUAUGUCCUGUCUGCAAUCGCUGUUUCAAGGAGCAGAACUAAGGGAAGGGCCUGAGAGGGAAGGCAGCUGGGACUGAUUUAAAGAAGGCUCUCGCGCCCAGAAACACGCUACGGGCUGGGGUGUGACAAUCUCAGAGCCGGAACUCACCCCACACCCUGAAAUCAACAACCCCACUUGCCACCCUCCUUUUAAGUCAGGACAGCAGGCUUUGAAUCAGCAGCCUUCCUCCCCAGGACUCUGCACUGGCCUGGGCCACUUGCCAGCCUGAUGUCCUUGCUCCUCCCCCUCCCAGGUGCACUGAGAUACACUAUGGGCAGGGGUAUGACUCUCACAGUCGGCCAGGACCCUCACCCCACACGACACCACCCCACACCCUGAAAACAAAGACCCUGCUUUCAAUCAGCACCCUCCAGCCUUUUGACCCAGCUUGAAAGCAAGCACCACCCAACAUUUGUUCAUGGUACCUGUUUGUAAGUGUCUUCCUUUAACAGGUGUCUGGCAGAGGAAGAAGAGGCUCAGGUGGGAGGGAAGAAAAAGCUUGAAGAAAUACAACAGUUAUGAGCUCAGCAGGUCCCCCCAAGACCCCUGGUUUGACACAGUGCAUUCACUACCCGAAGGCCAGCUUUCUAGAGCUCAACUCCAUGUGGAACAGACCGGUUGUGGCAAACUGCAUGGCCAAAAAAUAAUCCAUGUAUUUCUGGGUCCAGAGUUGAGCCUCCAAACAAAGGGGACAGUCUGUCAACUCUCUAGCCACUGGGCCAACUGGCCUUUCAGGAAUUGAACCAUAGAUGUGAUGUAAGAAUUAUUUCCCCUCCCUCAGAGGAGGAAAAUUUGGCCAGAGAGUCCGAGGUACCACAUACCAAAACAGAAGGCUCUGGGAACCUCCUUGGGAUGCUAAAGACCCAUCUCCAACCUUGCCUCUCAGCCUGAAGAUGAAGUCUGGGAGCUGCAGGGAGGGGCGCCAACGGUGCUCUGCCGCCAUCCGGUGGCCAUCUGCUCUAACAGCAACUCCCAGCCCUUCCUGUCUCCCACAGCAGAACCCUGGUCUGCAGUGGCCUGGGGACCUUAGCAGUACUGGGGUGUAUUGCGUGCAGAGCAGUACCCACAGCAAGCACACAAGUUUUUCAGUUGUUUCCUGGGCACCAGGGACUCUCUGCUCCCAGAUUCCUCAUGUCAGGCAGAGGACACGUGUCCUUUCAGGAUUUUGAGAUGGAUUCACAACCUGGUUGGGUGGCAGUGUGUUUAGAAUGCUUGAAGGAUCCACUGGGUUUCAGAAUGCCUUGUGUUCCUCCAGAGGCAGGGGCUGAGACCCACGGAGCAUUUGUG
rnacentral:lncRNA from 1 species